rnacentral:rRNA from 1 species
AGAGUUUGAUCCUGGCUCAGAGCGAACGCUGGCGGCAGGCCUAACACAUGCAAGUCGAGCGCCGUAGCAAUACGGAGCGGCAGACGGGAGAGUAACACGUGGGAACGUGCCCUUCAGUUCGGAACAACCCAGGGAAACUUGGGCUAAUACCGGAUACGCCCUUACGGGGAAAGAUUUAUCGCUGAAGGAGCGGCCCGCGUCUGAUUAGCUAGUUGGUGAGGUAAUGGCUCACCAAGGCUACGAUCAGUAGCUGGUCUGAGAGGAUGAUCAGCCUCACUGGGACUGAGACACGGCCCAGACUCCUACGGGAGGCAGCAGUGGGGAAUAUUGGACAAUGGGCGCAAGCCUGAUCCAGCCAUGCCGCGUGGAUGAUGAAGGCCUUAGGGUUGUAAAGUCCUUUCGACGGGGAAGAUAAUGACGGUACCCGUAGAAGAAGCCCCGGCUAACUUCGUG